GGGCUCCUAGCUCAGCCGGUUAGAGCGCUUCAGUGACAUUGAAGAGGUCACAGGUUCGAGUCCUGUGGAGCCCACCA
rnacentral:tRNA from 1 species